CGAUGUAAUGCCACUGGUGUCCAAAGGUUUAAACCACCCCUGACUCUUCUAGACAGGAGACUAGAGAACUCAGGGAAUAUCAUGGAAGAAUUGCUUCUCGGAGCUGCCUCCAUAAACAGCCUACAUCCUGGCUAAGCAAAGAGAGAAGAAACACUUCCCACAUCCAGGGCUGUCCAAAAGAACUUUCUGUGAUGACAGAAAUGUUCCAUAUUUGCAGUGUCUGAUACAGUAGCCACUAGCCACAUGGCUAGUGAACAAUUGAAAUGUUGCUACUGUGAUUGAGGAAGUAAAUUUUAAUGUUAUUUAAUUUUAAAUACUUUAAAUGUAAAUAGCCACAUGUGGCUAGUGACUAGUGUUGUGGACAAACCUUUCUCUUUCUUGUGUUUUACACCUUGCUGGGUGUGUAUGUGGGUG
rnacentral:lncRNA from 1 species